rnacentral:misc_RNA from 1 species
AGUAGUUCUAGGGAGCUUUCCAAAAUAACUCCACUUAUGAUGCUUUAAAGCUUUUGAUAUGAAAUUACUCAAAUAUUUGACAAGUCAUUUAUCUUUGAAUCGUUACACUAAUCAAGAACUUCUAUAUGUGUUUCAGAUUCCUCAAGAGCUACGUGAUGCAUUUGUUUUUGCAAUUAACAAACAUAAGAACAAUGCCUAAUAGAAGCAUGCCUGCUGCUCCUUAUCCCUCUCCAGGUGCUCUUCUGUUAGGAGAUGCAUUGACCAUGAGGCACCCUUUAACAGGUGGAGGAAUGACUGUUGCACUAUCAGAUAUAGUUGUACUAAGCAAUGACCGAAGCAACGCAUAUUCCCUUUGCAAGUAUCUUGAAUCUUUCUAUACGCUGCGUAAGGUUGCAU